rnacentral:rRNA from 1 species
GACGAACGCUGGCGGCGUGCUUAACACAUGCAAGUCGAACGUGAUUUUUGUGGAAAUUCUUUCGGGAAUGGAAAUGAAAUGAAAGUGGCGAACGGGUGAGUAACACGUGAGCAACCUACCUUACACAGGGGGAUAGCCGUUGGAAACGACGAUUAAUACCGCAUGAGACCACAGAAUCGCAUGAUAUAGGGGUCAAAGAUUUAUCGGUGUAAGAAGGGCUCGCGUCUGAUUAGCUAGUUGGAAGGGUAAAGGCCUACCAAGGCGACGAUCAGUAGCCGGUCUGAGAGGAUGAACGGCCACAUUGGAACUGAGACACGGUCCAAACUCCUACGGGAGGCAGCAGUGGGGAAUAUUGCACAAUGGGGGGAACCCUGAUGCAGCGACGCCGCGUGAGCGAAGAAGGUUUUCGAAUCGUAAAGCUCUGUCCUAUGAGAAAGAUAAUGAACGGUAUCAUAAGGAA